AUAGUUUAAUAAAAAAAUAUUUUAUUUACAUUAAAAAGUUAAUUAGAAUUUUAUUUAAUUUGA
rnacentral:tRNA from 1 species